GCUUUUUAAUUAAAAGCUAGAAUGAAAGGUUUAAUAUUUUAAUUUUAUUAUUAUUAUUAUAUAUUAAAUUUAUACUAAAUAUAAAAAUAUAUUUAUAUAAUAAAAAGACGAUAAGACCCUAUUGAACUUUACUUAAAAGUUAAGCUGGGGCAGCUAAUUAAUAAAUAUUUUAAUAUUAUUACUAUCAUAAGAUAUCCAAUAUAAUUGAAUAUAUCAAGUUACCAUAGGGAUAACAGCGUAAUAUUAAUUUAAAGUUCAUAUUAAAAUUAAUGUUUGCGACCUCGAUGUUGAAUUAUUAAUCUUUAUAAACGCAAUAGUUAUAAAAGUAGGUCUGUUCGACCUUUAAUAUUUUACAUGAUUUGAGUUCAAACCGGUAUAAGCCAGGUUGGUUUCUAUCUUUUUAUAUUAUUUUCUAGUACGAAAGGACAAAAAAAAAUAUUAUUAAUAAUAUAUUAGCAAAUAAAUGCAUUAGAAUUAGAAUCUAAAUAAUCUAUUAUAUUAAUUUAAUUAAUUCUAUUAUUCCUAUAAUUUGUUUAUUAGUAAGAGUAGCAUUUUAUACUAUUCUAGAACGAAAGAUUUUAGGUUAUAUUCAAAUUCGAAAAGGACCAAAUAAAGUAGGAUUUAUAGGAAUUUUACAACCAUUUAGAGAUGCUAUUAAACUAUUUAAUAAAAAUCUAUUAUCAUCUGAAUUAAUAAAUUUUUCUUUUUCAUAUAUUACACCAGCUAUAUCAUUAAUUUUAGCUUUAUUAAUUAUAUCUUUUAUUCCUAUAUAUAAAUAUUCUCCCUUUGAUAAUAAACAUAAUAUUAUAUUAUUUUUUAUCAUUUCUAGACUAUCUGUUUAUUCAAUUUU
rnacentral:rRNA from 1 species